rnacentral:rRNA from 1 species
AGUGAACGCUGGCGGUAGGCCUAACACAUGCAAGUCGAACGGCAGCACAGUAAGAGCUUGCUCUUACGGGUGGCGAGUGGCGGACGGGUGAGGAAUACAUCGGAAUCUACUUUUUCGUGGGGGAUAACGUAGGGAAACUUACGCUAAUACCGCAUACGACCUACGGGUGAAAGCAGGGGAUCUUCGGACCUUUCGCGAUUGAAUGAGCCGAUGGCGGAUUAGCUAGUUGGCGGGGUAAAGGCCCACCAAGGCGACGAUCCGUAGCUGGUCUGAGAGGAUGAUCAGCCACACUGGAACUGAGACACGGUCCAGACUCCUACGGGAGGCAGCAGUGGGGAAUAUUGGACAAUGGGCGCAAGCCUGAUCCAGCCAUACCGCGUGGGUGAAGAAGGCCUUCGGGUUGUAAAGCCCUUUUGUUGGGAAAGAAAAGCAGCAGGUUAAUACCCCGCUGUUCUGACGGUACCCAAAGAAUAAGCACCGGCUAACUUCGUG